UGUCUUUUGGUCGCCAUAGCAAAAGCUACUUAACGCAACCCGUUGUUCUCACCAGGAACAACACCCCCCAUACACCCUCCCAUCCUCCCUCGCUCCCCGGAAUCCCUCAUAAUCGCGCGCACACAUCACCCACACGUUGCUGUCGCUCCCUGCUCUAUUCGCUCGCUGUGCUUUUUCUUUUCGUGUGUGUGUGUGUGUGUGUGUGUGUGUGUGUCACCGGUUCGUGUGAGCGCGUUUGCGGCUGUCGCUGUUGGGCCGACGGUGUCUCACCAUCAUCGCGACGACCCGCCCUCGUACGCCUUGUGUCGUCGCAGUUGUGUGCUGGUCUGCUCUCUCUCGUUUCUCUGCUCUCCUUCUCGCGUCGCCUCCCCGCCUUUAGCCUUUAUUCCCUUCCAUUUCUGCUGCUGUCGUCAUCGUCUGCGUGCGGCGGCCCCUCUCCUCCCUGUUCAUUGUCUUUUGCGUGUGACAGGACGUACCUGCGAUAGACUUCUCUUGGGUGCGUGCGUGCGUGUGUGCGGCCUUGCGUCGGCUCAUAUAAUCACAGCUACGCGCAUGGCACAGCGAUACACAUCCGCAUACAAGGAAUCUCGCACCUACACAUGGCCUUGUGGUGCUGUGGGGCAGAUGGCACCUCCAGUGUCACCUCCAAGAAUGCGGCGCAGUUGCGCAGCCUGGAGGCAAUGGGCCUCUCGCGCGGCCACAGUCCACGCCUGCGCCGCACGGAGGUGCAGGUACCCGUUACCCUCAACGUGUACAGCCUAAUCGAGAGCAACAAGAGGCUGUCCAAGAUGGGCAUGGGUGUCUUCCACACAGGCGUCGUCGUGUACGGCAUCGAGUGGGGUUACGGCGAGGUGGUGGACAACCCCAACGCCUCCGGGUUGUUUUGCGUGCAUCCCGGGCAAGCCGCCGGCACCCUUUACCGUACCAUCCGCAUCGGCCACACCACCCGGUCACCCAUGCAGGUGGACACCAUCCUGCACCGGCUGGAGAACGAGUGGCGCAGCAGCGACUACCACAUCCUGCACCACAACUGCAACCACUUUGCCCAGGCGUUCUGCGAUCUGCUGAGCACCACAGAGAAGCUGCAGGUCCCGUCGUGGUGCAACCGCGCCGCGCGCGUCGGCGACCGCGUCAUCCCACGCCGGCUGGCGACGAAGGUGCAGCAUAUGAUGGACGACGAACCGCCCAAGGCGGCUGCGCCACCGACGCCGGCGUCGAACAUCAGCGAGGUGCCCACAUCGGUGGUGCCACACGAGUGGUAUCUGCACCCCAGCAUCUGCCAGCCGCUGCGGUACAUCGACGAAAGCAAGCCGCUCUCUGUGGUCACCCAAGACGGGCAUAGUGCCUCGGCAUCAGUGGCAGCUGUUGAUGGCGGCGGCUCCCACUACAGCGCCGAGUGCGAUAUUGUGCCACCGCCGGGCUACGAGAUGACCGACACCGGUAGUGUGUGCCCACCCAUCACCCGGCGCGAGACGUACUGCAGCACGGACGAGAAGGGCAGCAUCACGCACAUGAUGGCCAUCGAGGAGCAGCCCUCAGUAGCCCCGUCUUCUCGGCGCGAGUCCGCGUGCAAGUCGACCGCGUCUCAACGCGCGGCCAAGACCACGUCUGGCCACAGUCCGGCGCCGCCGUCUCCCGGCAUUGCCUUCAGCAGCGGCGGGGAAGACCGUGUGGUGCUGCCGCGCAUGCGGGCCUCGACAAGCCAGUCGUACAGCGUAGCGCCAACCGGGUCGCCGCAGGCCUCGGAGAUCGAAAUAGACGUAGAGAAUGUCCUCCAGAGCGAAACGAGCGAGGAGCCGUCGCCUCCCGUCAUGUCGCACUUGCCGAUGAUUAGCUCCCCCAACCGCGGCAUCGUCAACCCUCGAAAGGCGACGCCGUCGGGCAGCACCACCAGCCGGCAGCAAGGCGCAAGUUUCGAGCAGCAGCAUCAUGUCGAGAACGACUCGAGGGACAAGGGUGCAGAAGCGUCCUCGAAGAAGCCGCUGUGCAUGAUUUGCAGCUCAUCUAUGGAGUCGAUGAGCGAGGAGCUGUCUGACCACGGCGGCUCCUCGGCACAGCCGCACUCUUCGUUCCUUGCGACAUCGAAUGCGAUGCCGGUCGGCUGCAUUACGACUUUGUUGUCCACCUCGCCGAACCCAUCAGCCGAGGAGGCCACCCGGCGCAGUAGCAGCAUGAUGGCAGGCGAGCGCGACGUCAGCACUGGCGUCGCGAAUAUGUCAAGCGAGGUGAGCAACAACACGAGCGGCGACUUCGCGUCAGUCAAGCACAAACACAGAACACAGGCCACCACCACCAGCAGCGCGAUCAAGGAGCAGAAGCCAAAAAGGGAGCCCGGUAACGAAUUCAGUGACAUCACCGGUGCGCUGGUCUGCGAUGCACCCCUCUCAUCCGCCACCGCAGAAGCAUCACCGGCGGGCAUCAAGCGCAAGAACAGCUCGGCGUGGAAGCUUCUCAAGAACCAAUGUGGCCUCUCGAGCAAAACUGGCAGCGGAAACGCGGUUUGCAAGUACCUCUCCACCCCGUCGGCAAGUUUGACGUCGUCCUCAUCCUUCUCGCUUCUACAGCCUGAGGCCCAUGAUGACAAGGAGGCGGUCUCCGUAGCUGCUGAUAGCGGCGCCGUCGAUCCUGCCGCAGAUUCAGCACUGGCGUCGAGGCAGGAGAGGGGUCACACGCACGUGCUCCUGUCCGCCUCAGCCUCUCCUCCGUCGCCCCACUCCACGCCUGUUGCGUUGGAACGCAAGUACAGCGGGCAUGACGCCGUAUCGAACGAGGUGCAAGACGCAAACGGCACCACACCGAUGCCAACAACGGCUGCGCUGCAGAACGCGCCCCGCGUGCCGCAUCUGGGCGGUGACCCGCCAACGUCCGCAACGGAGCUGAUGCCACAGUCUCCUGAGCAGCGCCUGUCGCGCAGCGAGACGUCUUCGGCGCAAGGCGAUGUUCCUUCGCCUGUGAGCCCGCCAGAUCUGGACCCGGCAACAACAGCGUCGCGGCCCACGGACAGUCCAGGGCCCCAGCUCCCGCCUUCCUUUGUGACGCCAGAGCGGCCUAACAUCAUCACGAACAGUGGGGCUGUGACGACGGGGUGCUCGCCUGCCGCGGCGCAUCAGCAGUGCCGGCGCGCCAGCUCAUCGGCCGCGAUGAGCGACUCCCCGCCUCCGCAAAGGGAGCGGUGCCGGACACCCAUCCCCUUUGCAGGAAGGCGGCGCGGCAAUGAUGAGAAUGUCGCACCCGCGCUCCGGCUGGACUUGGACAGCGAUGAGGCGGAGCCGCCAGUGCGUCGCAGCAACAGUCGAACAGCAGUGGAAGCUGGUACGCCGUCGACGGCCGACAAGACGGCACACGCGCCGAUGGUACCAUGCUCGUGUGGACCGUCAUCGCUGCGCCGCGAGGAAACUGCGACGGGUGACGGUCGAACUGGCGAGAACGCAUCCAGCGACUGCAGCCAAGCCCCUCUGGCUGUGCAGCCUAGCCUGAACACCGAGCUGGCGGAUCCGACACGCUUGAGCCCGACGCCUUUGGAGAGCAUCCCAGCGCCGGAGGCCAACCAGCCCCCCACCUUACCCCCAUGCGGCACUCAUUGAUGGGCGCUUAGCAAUCCACCACUCUUUUCGAUGUGUAGCGUGCAUGCGCCUCCGUUUUUCGUUGCACUGUCCGCUUUUCCUCCUCUCUUGUGUCCUGCGCGGUGACAGUGUCAUAUCUUCCAUUUCGGUAUGUUGAUCUCAGAGAAAAGAAGACACACAUCUCGUAAAUGAGCUCGGCAUUUUAUUUCCUGCGUUGUCCGGCUGCUACUUAGUGGACUGGGCGCAUUUCCCUCCACCCCCCACUCCCCGCCCUUUCCCUCCGCACAGGUGCGUGUUUUGUUCGAUGCAAGUGGCUUGUAUGCUCUGCAGCCCUUCCUCUCCCCCUCCAGUCCGGGCAGAUAACAAAAAAAAAAGCAGCACCCGAAAGCACACAAGCACCGCAAAACGUGCAAAGGAGCGGAUGAAAAGCGCUCAAAUCACCCCGGCGCCUCGCUGGGGCGGCGGCCGCCACCGCCCAAACAACCCGCCUGCCAAAGCACCCCGGCUUCAACCACCCUCCCCCCCCUCCCCGCUCCACCCCUCCCCAGGGCGCCAAGCCCCCCCCCCACCACCUCCCCCUUGCCCCCUCACCCGAAAG
rnacentral:misc_RNA from 1 species